rnacentral:rRNA from 1 species
AUGAACGCUGGCGGCGUGGAUAAGGCAUGCAAGUCGAACGGACCUCUUAUAUCCAGAGAUGCGAUUAUAUCAAGUCAAAGGUCGUUUGAGGUUAGUGGCGAACGAGGUAGUAAUACAUAGGAACUUCCCCCAAAGUCGUGAAUAAUUCGUCGAAAGACGGACUAAUACACGAUGGUCUCGCAAGAGUAAAGAAUUUCGCUUUGGGAAAGGCCUAUGCGAUAUCAGCUAGUUGGUAGUGUAAUGGACUACCAAGGCUAUGACGUCUAGGGGAGCUGAGAGGCUGACCCCCACCGAUGGUACUGAGACACGGACCAUACACCUACGGGUGGCUGCAGUCGAGAAUCUUCCACAAUGGACGAAAGUCUGAUGGAGCGACGCCGCGUGAUUGAUGAAGUCCCUCUGGGACGUAAAGAUCUUUUGUCAGGGAUGAAGUUUAUUGACCGUACCUGAAGAAUAAGAGGCUCCUAAUCUCGU